rnacentral:rRNA from 1 species
CCUACGGGUGGCAGCAGUGAGGAAUAUUGGUCAAUGGGUGGAAGCCUGAACCAGCCAAGUAGCGUGCGGGAUGAAGGCCCUACGGGUCGUAAACCGCUUUUGCACGGGGAUAACACCCUCCACUUAUGGAGGUCUGCAGGUACCGUUCGAAUAAGGGCCGGCUAAUUCCGUGCCAUCCGCCGCGGUACUACGAAAGGCCCGAGCGUUAUCCGGAUUCAUUGGGCUAAACGGGAGCGUAGUCGGGUGUUCAAGUCAGCUGUAAAAUCGCGGGGCUCAACCGCGCCCCGCAGUUGAAACUGGACGCCUUGAGUUCACAACAGGCAGGCGGAAUUCGUGGUGUAGCGGUGAAAUGCAUAGAGAUCACGAGGAACCCCGAUUGCGAAGGCAGCCUGCCGGGGUGCGACUGACGCUGAGGCUCGAAGGUGCGGGUAGCAAACAGGAUUAGAUACCCCUGUAGUC